CCUACGGGUGGCAGCAGUGAGGAAUAUUGGUCAAUGGGCGGAAGCCUGAACCAGCCAAGUCGCGUGAGGGAUUAAGGCCCUGCGGAUCGUAAACCUCUUUUGCCGGGGAGCAGAGGUCCGGACGUGUCCGGGCCGGGAGAGUACCCGGAGAAAAAGCAUCGGCUAACUCGGUGCCAGCAGCCGCGGUAUUACGGGGGAUGCGAGCGUUAUCCGGAUUUAUUGGGUUUAAAGGGUGCGUAGGCGGGCAUUUAAGCCGGCGGUCAAAUGUCGGGGCUCAACCUCGGCCUGCCGUCGGAACUGGGUGCCUUGAGUGGGCGAGAGGUAUGCGGAAUGCGUGGUGUAGCGGUGAAAUGCAUAGAUAUCACGCAGAACCCCGAUUGCGAAGGCAGCAUACCGGCGCCCUACUGACGCUGAGGCACGAAAGUGUGGGUAUCGAACAGGAUUAGAUACCCGAGUAGUC
rnacentral:rRNA from 1 species